AAACCAUGCAUCGAGAAUUUUCUAAUUAUCUCAUUGAAUCACUCCGAUGCUUCAUAUAAUGUUUCGUCCUUAGAUUGCCGAAAGGACGUGAUAUCGUUCCUCAGUUU
rfam:Gossypium raimondii chromosome 10, whole genome shotgun sequence.